AUUUAUGUAAAUCUCUGUCCUGGUAAGGCACAUGUUGAUGUACUUGGGCUUAAGCUCAUAAACCAAGAGGAACAGUUUCCUACAUCCCCCUUCUAAUGACUAAAGCCAACGGGCUGAGCCAAAUGGGACAAUUUAGACAAAGAGAGACUGGCGAAAAGCAAAUGAAUGUCUGCUUCCUUCUAGCAUUCUAGGAAAAAUACCAAGCGGCUGUGCCAAUGUGCACUGCUUGCCUUUGUUAGGAGAAUACACUCAAAAUCAGGGGAAUCAGUCAGUACCAGGUUCAGGAAAGAUGUAUGCAAGAGAGACUCCCUGAUGAGGAAAAAUCGACUACAGAAACACAGCAUGCACCCAGCUCAGCACAAACACAGCUUAAAAAUCCAAGGAAUUAGGAUGAAGUGUAGAAUCCCGAGGUUCUCAUUCUUGUUCCCAUAAGCCAGGAUUGGCUGAGCCUUAGCCAGGAUACCACCUGGCAUUCAGCCACAUCGGCUAAAGAGAUGAGGAACCUGAGAGGAAACAAAUGUGAGGAAGAGGAUGAUUCAAGAGGACCAGAAAUACAAGGAAAGGACAGAGGCCCUCGGAUGGUUCACUGCAGAGAAGACAGGCUGAAAGAUUUAGGAACCGGCUGAAAGCCAACAUGCCAGAGCCUCCCAAAGGGUGGAAUCAGAGAUCUCUCCUGCUAUUAUUGUAUCAGCAGCCUCACGUCUACCCUCGGGCCUGAAUUUUGUUAUAGAUUUAUACACAUUUGAUAUAGAGUCCUUCCCAUGCUACUUUCCUACUAUCUCUGUGUUUCCUAGAACCAAGAUGAGAAAAUGUAGGCCACAAAACUUUCCUGACGCUCCCAAAGUCAUCCAGCAAGAAGUACCAGAAUCAAAAUCUUCUUAUCCUUGCAAAAAAAAAGAAAGAAAACAUAAAUAAAAGUGGAACAGUAAGAAUCACAAAAAAGAGUGAGGGAGACAGAGAGAAUCGGGAGGUACUACAAGAGGAAGAAACCUAAAUCUAAUUUAUCUCACUUGGAAUUAAGGACAAUUUGUAAAAUUUAGCAGUAAAGACUGUAAUAUGUUUGAAAUUUGAUAGACUUGGGAGAUGUAAUAAGAACAGUCUUUUUUUGCAAGUGUUUAUUU
ensembl:lncRNA LINC00411 long intergenic non-protein coding RNA 411